rnacentral:lncRNA from 1 species
CAAUUCAUUGCUCAUAGAGGCCAGUGUGAUACAUUUGACAGUCAAAUUAUCAUUCUUCCACAUCCUAUAUGUGGAUACCUCUUCCUUAGUGGCAUCAUCUCCAAACUCUUGUGCUUCAGGGACAUCAAGAAGGUAAGAGAGCUUCUCCUGAGUGAGUAUAAUUUUUAAAUUCCUCAAUCAGUCUAUAUAAUUAGGACUGAUCAAUUUGUUGGAAUCUAAAAUUUCUCACAAUGAUAAUGAAGAUGCCAUUUGUAGAGUUUAAUCUAUAUUAAAUAAAGAACAUAACAUAAGCAAAUAACUCAUGAUGACACACAUAAUUAAACAAGAUUUUUUAUUUAAUUGUACCUUCCAAUAUUUUAUCGAACAUCAUAACCCUCUACUAUGAUGAACAAGACAUAUUGAAUAUUCAUCUUAGUGAGAUUGAGAUCCCAAUUUCUCAUAAUGAUCUUGUGGUGACAUAAUAAACCUUUAUGAGUUCAUAAGUAGAAAACUCUUUUCAAUUGCAUCUCAUGUAAUUCUCAAUUUUAUCUUAGCCUCUAAAACAUUAAUAGUCUUGUGGUAAUACAACAAGCUUUAAUAUUUUAGUUAAGUAAGACUCUUUAUUUCAAUACAGUCAAAUUCGAAUAUUACCAUCCUUAUAGUAAUACAACAAAGUAGUAUACCCAAAAUUACUGUAA